AUAACAGUCAUCACCCCAUAACAGUUGUCACCCUAUAACAGUCAUCACCCCAUAACAGUCAUCACUCUGUAAUGGUCAUCACCCAAUAACAGUCAUCAUCCCAUAACAUUCAUCACCCCAUAACAGGCAUUACUCAGUAACAGGCAUCACCCCCAUAACAGUCAUCAUCCCAUAACAGGCAUCACCCCCAUAACAGUCAUCAUCCCAUAACAGUCAUUACCCUAUAACAGUCAUUAUCACAUAACAGUCAUCACCCAUAGCAGUCAUGCCACUAUUGCCCUACUGGGCACAUCCUGCCUGUCAGAUCAAUAUUGUAGCUCUAGGGUAUCACAACUGGGUAAGAAUGUUGACCUCUCCCAUCGUCCCCUCCCCCAGUGGCCUGCAGAACACCUUCCAGAGCCAGUGAGAAGGGAGGGAGCUUUCGGCUCAGUCAUCACCGUUUUGUUUUGUCCUGUGGUAUCUUCAGUUCUGCUGGCUCCUCCUCUGAGGACUCUAAUUACAGAACCAUCUCAUCUCAGGGUGCUGCAGCCUGUGACCACACUGGAAUCUGGAGCCCCUAGGCAGUAACUGGGAUGAAGCCAUCUGACUCUUUUGAACCAAGCUGGCACCACAGAUCCCAGUGAAUGCAUGGUGGUGAUAUGCAUUUGUGGAGAAGCCACCAUAUUUCUUGGAUGUCUGGGCGACCACUGAUCAAAUCGGACUUCUUGCCAACUGGAGAGAGGGCAGGCAUGCAUGCAGAUCCACACAGCACGUGUGGUAAGCCUCACAGUGAGAGACACAGGACGCCCUCUGCUGGAAGUACUGCUGGAUGUAAUUUCCUCUCAGCUGAAAUCAUCUCCCCUGGAGGCGAGAGGGCAAGAGGGAAACUCACAAAGUUCAGGAAAGCCCUGAAACUUACAGAACUCACAAGGCCCCUCCCUAAGAUUGCACAAGCAAUAAGAUGGCAGGGGAGAGGAGACUCUGAGAUGCCAGGCUCCAGAGCUGCCAUUCAUCUGUGUGUCUACUAUGCUGGAAAGGGUUUUGGGGAGGCAGCUGCCUUUGAGUUACCCACACUCUGUAAGCAACUCCAAUAAAUUGACAGGCUCACCAAGCCAUACUUGGA
rnacentral:lncRNA from 1 species